rnacentral:rRNA from 1 species
AGCAGCCGCGGUAAUUCCAGCUCCAAUAGCGUAUAUUAAAGUUGUUGCAGUUAAAAAGCUCGUAGUUGAAUUUCGGAAUUUGUCGGUUGGUCGGGCUUCACUGUCCGCACUGGCCUGAUGAAUUCCUACCUUCUGAAUAACCAGCAUGCUAUUAAUUUAGUGCGUUGGGGAAGCAGAGCUAUUACCUUGAAAAAAUUAGAGUGCUUAAAACAGGCUCACGCUUGAAUAGAUUAGCAUGGAAUAAUAAAAUAGGACGGCUUGGUUCUACUUUGUUGGUUUCUAGGAUCACCGUAAUGAUUAAUAGGGAUAGUUGAGGGCAUUAGUAUUCAAUUGUCAGAGGUGAAAUUCUUGGAUUUAUUGAAGACUAACUUCUGCGAAAGCAUUUGCCAAGGAUGUUUUCAUUAAUCAAGAACGAAAGUUAGGGGAUCGAAGACGAUCAGAUACCGUCGUAGUCUUAACCAUAAACUAUGCCGACUAGGGAUCGGACGAUGUUAAUUUUUUAAUGACUCG